GUACGUUUUGAUCUUAUUCAGGUUCCAUUUUGAGAGGAUAGAGAAAAAAUCAUCUUGAGAGAAGAAAAUAAUAAAGUCUGAUGAGAGAUGAGGGGAGUGGGGCACUGACUUUAAAAUGAGUCUCUCUGUUGACCGAGAGGAGGGGGGCACUGCCUCUAACAUGAAUCUCUCUGGGGUACAUGACACUAAAGCUACGAGCCUAAUCCAUCAGGAGAGACCCAACUCCCCUGUAUGCAGCUGUGUGUCCAUGAAAUGUGACCAAUCUAUGGAUCUACCUCUCACGU